GGCGCGCGUGCGCUCUUGUUGCGGAAGUGCGUCACACGCGGGAAAGAGGAAUCAGUACAGUUUGUGUAAGUGACCGUCAAAAGGAAUGUUUUCGUAAGAGAAGAGUGCUUAUUACAGCAGUUAAACUUUGUUUCAGCUUCCUAACUGCUUACAAACAGCAGUGGAGUCAAAAUGUCGAAGAUCGAGAAGAUGAGCAUCCUUGGAGUGAGGAGUUUUGGCGUCGAGGACAGGGACAAGCAGAUCAUUUCAUUCUUCAGUCCUCUGACGGUGCUGGUCGGACCCAACGGAGCCGGAAAAACGACUAUUAUUGAGUGCCUUAAAUAUGUCACCUCAGGAGAUUUUCCACCUGGAAGUAAAGGAAAUAGUUUUGUUCAUGAUCCAAAGGAUGUCCAUGAAACAGAGGUACGUGCUCAGAUUCGGCUUCAGUUCAGAGAUGCUAACGGGGAACCCGUCGUUGUUCAACGUUCCAUGCAAAGCACACAGAGGGGCAAAAAAGCACCAGAGUUUAAAACCCUUGAAGGCGUCAUCACCAGAUUAAAGAAUGGAGAAAAAGUUAGUGUGAGCUCAAAAUGUGCAGAAAUAGACAGUGAGAUGAUCUCAGCUCUGGGCGUUUCAAAAGCAGUGCUCACCCACGUCAUCUUCUGCCACCAAGAAGAGUCUAACUGGCCUCUCAGUGAAGGAAAAGCCCUCAAGCUGAAAUUUGAUGAGAUUUUUUCAGCGACGAAGUACGUCAAGGUGAUGGAAAACCUUCGUCAGGUAAGGCUGAAGCAGGCAAACACUGUCAAAUCCUGUCAGAUGGAGUUGAAAUAUCUGAAGCAGAAUAAAGAAAAGGCUCAGGAGAUCAAGGAGCUGCUGUCCACUAAAGAAGGCCAGCUAGCAGCUUCUAAAGAAAGUGUACAGCACAUCGAGAACCAGAUCGACCCCAAGGAGAAUCGGUUAAAUGACAUUGAUGACAAUCUGAGCAAAGUCAUGAAACUGGAUAAUGACAUCAAGGCUCUGGAGAGCAGGAAGAAACAGAUGGAAGAUGACAAUCGUGAAUUAGAGGAGAAGAUGGAGCAGGUGUUUCAGGGUUCAGAUGAGCAGCUGCAGGGGAUGUACAAGAAUCACCAGUUCACGGUUAAGAAGAAAGAGAAGAGACUCACGGAAUGUCAGCGUGAUCUGGAGAGGGUAGGUCGUGAGUGCCAGAGGAUGAACUACAUCAAAUCAGACCUACUUGUUGAACAAGGUCGUCUCCAGAUGGAAGCAGACAAGCAGGUGUUGCAUAUAAAGAACCGAGAUGCUCAGGUGAGGUCUUUAGCUUCUUACCUGGAAAUGGAAGGAUAUGACCAAGCUCCUUUCAAUGAGAGACAGCUCCAAAGCUUCCAUAAACAAGUCGGAGAGAGACAGGCUCGAGAGUCCGAGGCCCUCAACAGGGUUAUGAUUGACCUGCAAGAGAAAGAAACACAGAAACAGCAGAACAUUGAUGAGAUUCGUGAUAAGAAGACUGGUUUGGAGAGGACCAUCGAGCUGAAGAAGGACAUACAGGCCAAGAAACAAAAAGAGUUGAAGAAAAUACAGUCCGACCUUCAGAACCUGGAAGGUUCCUCAUCCAGACUUCAUGAGCUAGAGACUGAGCUCACAAAAGCAGAGCGAGAGCUGGAGAAGGCUGUACAGGGUUCCACUGUGGACCGUCUGAAGAUGGAGGUGCAGGAGCUACAGAGAGAAAAGGUUGAAUUGGACCAGGCCCAGCGCAAACUCGAUCAGGAAAUGGAAACUCUCAAUAUACAUACCACAGCACGCACACAAAUGGACAUGCUGAAAAAAGAUAAAACUGAUAAAGAUGAUCAAAUAAGGAAGAUCAAGUCCAGACACAAUGAAGACCUGGUUUCUCUGCUGGGCCACUUUCCUAACAAGAGAGAGCUUGAGGACUGGAUUCAUAGCAAAUCUAGAGAGAUCAACUCCAUCAGAGAGAAGCUGAGCAAGCUCAAUAAGGAGCUGGCAUCCAGAGAGCAGAACAAGAGUCACUGUACAGCUGAGAUUCGAUCCAAAGAGCAGCAGCUGGCCAGCUAUGAGGAGAAACUCUUCAAUGUGUGUGGUAGUCAGGACUUUGAAUCUGAUCUGAGCAAAUUGCAGGAUGACCUGGAGAAGUGCUCCAAGCAGAGAGCGAUGCUGGCGGGGGCCACGGCCGUGUACACCCAGUUCAUCAGCCAGCUGACGGAAGAGGGUGAGCCGUGCUGCCCGGUGUGUCAGCGUGUCUUCCCCUCAGAGGCUGAGCUCCAGGACGUCAUUAAUGACAUGCAGUCUAAACUGCGUCUGGUGCCGGACAAGCUGAAAAACACAGAGCAGGACCUGAAGAGGAAGGAGCGCAAGCGUGAUGACAUGAUGACCCUCAAACCUGUCAGACAGUCUAUUGCAGAGCUUCGUGAGAAGGAUCUGCCAGAGUUACGGAAUAAACUGCAGAGUGUGAACCGUGAAAUAGAAAAGUUGAAGAGAGACGUUGAGGAGCAGGAGAGUCUGCUAUCUCUGUUGAUGUCUGAGGAGGACACGGCCAAAGCUUGCCUACAGGACAUUUCCCUCAUGGACCGUUACCAGCUGGAUCUGAAGGAUGUGGAGAGAAAGAUAGUGCAGCAUACAGCCAAGCUUCAGGGAGUGGACCUGAGCCGCACGAUGCAGCACGUCAGCCAAGAAAAACAGGAGGUCCAACAUCGCCUUGACACCACCUGCAGUAAGAUGGAGCUGAAACGCAAACUUGUCCAGGACCAGCAGGAGCAGAUACAGUCCCUAAAGAGUCAUGUGAAUGAGGUCCAUGCUGAAAAGCUUCAGAUUUCCAGUAACAUGCAGAAGCAGCAGCAGCUGGAAGAGCAGUGUGUGGAGUUCAGUGCUGAAAUUCAGGAACUGCUCAGAGAAAUACGGGAUGCUAAGGAGCAGGUCUCUCCACUGGCCAUCACUUUAGAGAAGCUCCAGAAUGAAAAACAGGAUCUGAUUGCACGCAGAAAGCAAAAACAAAGUGAAGGCCAGGAGAAGGUUGAUGCUAUCAAAGAGAGAGUUAAAACUUUGGCCAUUUUAGAAAGAGAAAUCAGCAAGUACAUUGAAGAGGACAAAGAUAACUACAAGCAGCAAAAAGAGACAGAACUUCAGGAGAUAAAUGCUCAGCUGACUGAUGCUGAGAAACAGCGAGAGAAAAUCAACAACGACAUGGGCAAUAUCCGGCAAGAUAUAGACACUCAAAAGGUCCAAGAGCGCUGGCUUCAGGAUAAUCUGACCCUGAGAAAGCGUGUGGAGGAGCUGAAGGAGGUUUCCAAGAGGAGAGAGGUCUUACUGAAGGAGAUGGGCAACAUGCAAGUCAUGGAGCUGCGCAAUGAGCGGCGGGAGUUGGAGCGGAAGGUGGAGGACCUGAAGAAGAAUCGCAGUGUGGCUUUGGGGCGACAGAAGGGCUUUGAGGAGGAAAUCCUGCGUUUUCGAAAGGAACUUCGUGAGGAUCAGUACUGUCAGGCUGAAGAGAGAUUCCGGGACAAGAUGAUAAUCAAGAGGACCACUGAGCUGGUUAUCAAGGAUCUGGACAUCUACUAUAAAGCCCUGGACCAAGCAAUCAUGAAGUUUCACAGUAUGAAGAUGGAAGAGAUCAACAAAAUCGUUCGAGACCUGUGGAGGAGCACAUAUCGUGGACAAGAUAUCGAAUAUAUAGAGAUCCGCUCUGACAUGGAUGAAAAUGCCACUGCGGGUACGAAGAGACGAGUCUACAACUACAGAGUGGUCAUGGUCAAAGGAGACACAGCUUUAGACAUGCGAGGACGCUGCAGUGCUGGACAGAAGGUUUUGGCUUCUCUCAUCAUCCGGCUGGCUUUGGCAGAGACGUUCUGUUUGAGCUGUGGAAUCCUUGCAUUAGAUGAACCCACUACCAAUCUGGACAGAGAGAACAUAGAGUCUUUAGCCCAUGCCUUGGUGGAAAUCAUCAAGAGUCGCUCUGAGCAGUGUAACUUCCAGCUGCUCAUCAUCACCCAUGAUGAAGAUUUUGUGGAGCUCCUGGGUCGCUCCAAUUAUGUGGAGCAUUUCUACAGGAUCAGCAAGAACCAAGACCAGUGCUCAGUGAUCUCCAAGUGCAGCAUCAAAAGUCUGAACCUGCGCUAACACAUUCAGCAUAUAUAUAUCACACAUGGGAAUGAAGAUUUCACCUUGGGUCAGGUGAAUACAGGUGAAAUUAAACCCUAAAAGUUUGUAUCCAAAACCAAACAAAACUCAUAAGGACCCACUGCUUUGCAACACAACAGACAUUAUGUUCAGUUUUAGUUUUGAAAAGAUUAUUAACUAUUUCGGUUACUUUAUCUGUUAACACUUUACUACCAAAAAAAUUUAUUAACUCCACAUGUACCAAGUCUGUGAAGCCUGGAGAUUCGGAAUAGCUGAACACUUUCAUACGCAGAUCAGUUUUGUAUGAGGUUCUUUUACUGCUGGUUUGAUUUGGGUUUUUCGUACUUCAGCAAAUUGACAUUACAUACUAGCUCCACAGGUGUGUGUGUGUGGGGGGGGGGGGUUUGUGUGUGGCCAUUACAGGGAAAAACACUUGAGAUGUAAUGCUCUGACAUGCUAAUUUCACUAGUACGAAAAACAAUGAAAUUCCUCUGAUUGUUUCCUGGGUUUUAUCCCACAGUAAAAAUGCAGUCACUUAAUAAAAUGGACAUCUCUGUAUGCAAAACAACUUUAGUUAUUAAUUAUAACUUUGUUCACCAAUAAAUGUUUGUGAUUUGAAAGAAGAGAAAUCUGGAUGUUUAUUAAAUGUUUGUUUACACUUGAUAAGAACCAGAGUGUUGUCCAUGUGAGGGUUUUAUUACAAAUAUCAGCUGACUUGUGUAUUUUCUUUUAAAUUGUUAGAAAAAUCCCAGUUAUUGCUUAUUGUAAUACUUGGGGUCUUAAAGUAGUGUAUUUUAGCCUUUAAGUAUUUAUACUUUAUAUAUAAUAUAAUACAAGAAUCCUUUUCAUUACUCGGUUGAAUUAAUUUAACUAUGUGGCUACAUCUGCUGAAAGAACCCAGUCAGUUCUCACAACCAAACAUGGUCAAGGGAUUUUAGUCUUUUUCCAUCAACUCCCACAGAUGCUUCUAUCUGAACCAUUGCAAUCUUUUUUGCAAAUAGUCAUUAAAACACUCAGUUUCCCCUGUUCAGAGAAUUUGGAGCAUCAUAAGCAAAUCUCCAAACCUAAUCAACCACAUCUUUAUCAAGACGGCUCGGUUAGUCUGAGUUUCCUAGUCUGUAUGUAAAUGCUUACAGUGCAAAAUAACAGCUUCCAAGAAAAUGAGUGCUGAUUUAUAUCCGGGUUUCAUGUGCAUAUAUAUAUUCACUGGGAGCAUGUGUAAGGAUUGUGUCUAGAUUUAGCCUGCAAAAGCAACCUGAAGAAUCUGACAGAGUUAGACUUGACCCAACUUCACCAAACAAGAUGAAGGCCGUGAUUGUGCUUCUAACUACUGCUGCUGCGCUUGCCUGUGGGGUUCCUCAUCCCAAUCUGAAGGAAAUAACACCGGCUGUAAACUGUCUGCAUAAGGAAACCUUGAAUACGGAUAAGUUUGACGAGGUCUUUGUGAAAGACCUUAAAAAGAACAAAAUGGACAGUUGUGAGGCAGAGUUUUUCUGUCAGGCUGAGAAAGUUCUGUCUGGACAGGAGAAGCUCUUUAACAAAGAUCGUAAGUGCAAUGUUGAUAAACUGGUCAGGAAUCUGAAGCAGUACAAUAAUGAGUCCAUCUGCACUAUCCCAACCAAAGGAGACGAAAUAAUCCUCCGUAUUUUCUUAGACGAUCUGAUGAAAUGUGCACAAAAGGUCUUCGCCAGUUCAGGAUGACCAGAGCUCAGCUUUUCCUUUAAUUUAAGAAAUCACAUAUUUAUAUUGGCAUGUAAGGCUCUAAAAUAAUUAAUUUUAUUUUUUAAUAUUUUCAACAUUCUCACUUUCACAUUUGGAAGGCUUUAUUGAGGAUUUGAAUAAAAAUGAGUUCAGACUUGUUUGUGGACUCCUGCAACUUAUUUUUGUAAGAAAAUUCAGGUGUAACAUUUUAGUGACUGCCGAUAUUGGUAACAGGCCAGGUAUUGGGUAAAUAUUCACACGCUUUUCAUUUCAUCAGUUUGUCAGGUACUUUCCAGGUUCUUGAGAGGACAGCUUGCAAAAUCAGUAAAAUGAUGACGUGUGUGACACUUCGAGUAGCGUAUCUUUUAGAGAAGUUUGCCAAAAGGCAGCCAUGGUUCAGUCUUAAACUGAAUUUUCACCUGUGUGGGCAAUAAAAAGUAUAUUAAUAUUAUGUCGACAAAUACAUUGGAGCUGUUAAGACAAAAUAUACGGAUGCUUUAAUUGGGAUUAAGCAAUGCAUUAGACUGACCAUAGUGAUA